rnacentral:lncRNA from 1 species
GAAUGAAGUUCAGUACCUACGACAAGGAUAAUGACUUGAAUGCCGACGAGAAUUGCGCAGAGAAAUACAAAGGUGCAUGGUGGUUCAAUAAAUGUCACACGUCACAUUUAAAUGGGGAGUACAAUCAAACCCUAGAGUAUCCAUUGGGCAUACAAUGGUCAAAAAUCUUAGGCACACUACGUUACAGUGUCAUGGAAAUCAGGAGGACUGAUCCGUUAAAUUGAAAUCAAAAAUCUAUGUUUUAUAACAAUGAAAUGUGCCGU